rnacentral:ncRNA from 2 species
CCGUAGGUGAGCCUGCGGAAGGAUCAUUA